GGUCCCUUGCCCUACCUCCCUUUUCCUUGUUCUUCCCCAGCCUCGCCUCCCUCUUCCCCCGAUCCCGUCUCCCUCGAUCCUGGCCUUCCCCGGCCCUGCCUCCCUCUUUCCCGACCUUGCCGCCCUCUUCCCUCGAGCCCACCUUGCUAGGCCUCGGCCUUCCCCGGCCCACCUCUCUCUUCCCUGGCCCCGCCUCCCUAUUCCCUCAGCCUCACCGUCGAUCCCC
rnacentral:lncRNA from 1 species